ACCGGCGCACGGGUGAGUAACACGUAUGCAACCUGCCCUCCGCAGGGGGAUAACCCGGAGAAAUCCGGACUAAUACCGCGUGGUACACCAGUGGGGCAUCCCACGGGUGUUAAAAGGAAGCGAUUCCGGCGGAGGAUGGGCAUGCGGCGCAUUAGCUUGUUGGCGGGGUAACGGCCCACCAAGGCGACGAUGCGUAGGGGUUCUGAGAGGAAGGUCCCCCACACUGGUACUGAGACACGGAUCAGACUCCUACGGGAGGCAGCAG
rnacentral:rRNA from 1 species